rnacentral:rRNA from 1 species
UACGAAGGGGGCUAGCGUUGCUCGGAAUCACUGGGCGUAAAGCGCACGUAGGCGGCUUUCUAAGUCAGGGGUGAAAUCCUGGAGCUCAACUCCAGAACUGCCUUUGAUACUGGAGAGCUUGAGUCCGGAAGAGGUGAGUGGAACUCCGAGUGUAGAGGUGAAAUUCGUAGAUAUUACGGAAGAACACCAGUGGCGAAGGCGGCUCACUGGUCCGGUACUGACGCUGAGGUGCGAAAGCGUGGGGAGCAA